rnacentral:rRNA from 1 species
AGCAGCCUACGGGAGGCAGCAGUGGGGAAUAUUGGACAAUGGGCGCAAGCCUGAUCCAGCAAUGCCGCGUGUGUGAAGAAGGCCCUCGGGUUGUAAAGCACUUUUAUCAGGAGCGAAAUCUUCAGAGCUAAUACCUCUGUAGUCUGACGGUACCUGAGGAAUAAGCACCGGCUAACUCCGUGCCAGCAGCCGCGGUAAUACGGAGGGUGCAAGCGUUAAUCGGAAUUACUGGGCGUAAAGCGUGCGUAGGCGGUUUGUUAAGUCUGCUGUGAAAGCCCCGGGCUCAACCUGGGAAUGGCAGUGGG